rnacentral:misc_RNA from 1 species
AACACGGAAUUCAGUUGGCCUCUUUUUCAAGUGGCGGCCCUCAUUCAACUGGGCUAUGAAACCAUACUGGCCAGGAAUCACCUAAACCAAUAUAAUGAAAGAGUUUGGCUUAAAUCUCCUAUCCCCAGCUCAGUAAACACUAUGUUGCAGUAUUUGAGUUCCAAUUGCAAGCCAAACUAGAAAAGAAAGAUUAUAAAUAAGAGAACGGACCUUGGUUUCACAGGCAGUGACA